CACCGGCGGCUCGAGUGGUGGCCACUUUUAUUGGGUCUAAAGCGUCCGUAGCCGGCUUGACAAGUCCCCUGGGAAAUCUUGCGGCUUAACCGUCAGGCGUCCAGAGGAUACUGCCAGGCUUGGGACCGGGAGAGGUGAGAGGUACCUCAGGGGUAGGGGUGAAAUGUGUUGAUCCUUGGAGGACCACCUAUGGCGAAGGCACUUGUCUGGAACGGGUCCGACGGUGAGGGACGAAAGCCAGGGGCGCGAACCGG
rnacentral:rRNA from 1 species